UUCAAUAUCUAUUAUUCAUAAUUAUUUAUAUUUGCUUAACUGAAUUUAUACCUUUUUAAAUUUAUUUACAUAUAACGAUCGCGCUCAAAGUUUUGGGUCUGAUAAUGCUUCCUGAUUUUGGUCUUUUAUUUUUUUUUUUUAAGAAAACCAUUUGAUUUCUGCACCCACUCCUCCUUUCUAAAAAUUUUUAAUCUGCCUCUGGUAACUUUACGCUGUAAAUUUCUAUUCUCAUUUUAAUUAAAUUUAAAUAAAUACUAACAGCACUAUCAUGCAAUUUCAAUGACUAUCAUUUAAGGUAUUGAUUCAGUUUUCUGUCAUUCCUAAAAAUAAGUUGUACUGUAUCGUUGAUUUUUUGCAUAUAAAACAGUUUCUGCUCAUCAAACAUCCACGAGAAAGUGUUCUGUUUCGCAGUUAUUGUACGGUUGAUUUAAAAGGGAAAGCUCUCUGGGCCAUGUCACAAGAAGGAAAAAAGUUUUCGGGUUUUCACCACAAGAGCAAAUUAUACAACUUUAUUCUUGAAAAUGUUAGAGACUGAGACUUGGAGUCAAAGUCAACAGACACGCUUGCAUGGACAUGAAGGAUGUAAAGAACUAGAGUAUUAUAACUGAAAGCAUUUUGUCUGGAUUUGUGUAUGGAAACAGAAGGAUUUAGUAUUGGUAUCCUGAAUUUGUCAACUUCUAGCCAAGAUCCUGUAGGUAAGCUGAAUGUGGAGGACAGAUGUACACACAGUACUAGUAUAGAGGGUAUUAUCUUGGUACCUUAAAACUCCAAACGACAGGGAGAAGAAGAAAACUGCAUAUUUCUGAUGUAUCUUCACAGCAACAUGACCCAAAGCACUACCAUUAAAGGAUUUGAUUUGACAUUAAGGAAGUAAAAAAAUGAAGGCAUUAGUCAUAAAGAAAAUUAAAGAACUUUAUGUCUGAAUAUUAUAUCAACAAUACCAUAGAUCUAAAGAUGGAUUAUUUUGCCUUAUAAUUUAUAUUAAUGCAUGUACAUGUAAUUUUAUUCUUUUUAUAUAUAUACAUGCAUGUAGUGUUACCAUUUUUCACAAAGCUUAAAGUUAUGUAGGGCCACACCAAUUUAAUUUCUUGUUCGUCGGACAUUUGAUUUAAAAAAGUACAAGCGGUUAAAUGAUAAUAUUAUUACUCUUUGCUGGGCAAUUUUUUAGGCGGAGCGUGAAAAUUUGAGCGGACAAUUAUAUUUUUUCUGAUUUACAGAGUAAGCAGAUUUAAAAUACAAUAAAUAGAGCGGAAAUGGAACAGAAAAUAGCACAGAAUUCCUAUGGUGCGAGAAAUUGAAAUUAAUAUUAUUUGUAUGGUUUUGUUUAAAUAAGCGCGUGGGUCCGACGAACAAAAAUUUUCAUUGGUGUGGCCUAGAUCAUUUAGAUUCAAUUCAUUUUUUUUUUCAAAUUACCACAUGCCAGAAUUCAUAAGAAGGAAAUUUAUAUAUGGCUGGUGGUUGUGGCCAUUUUUAGACUAUAUUGAUCUCCUUUAGAAGGAGAGCUCCUUAUAAAAUUAUACAAAAAAUGACCAAAUUUUAAAACUAAAAUGUACAGAAUUUUUCUUUGCCAAAUGAUAGUUCAUAGAACCACAAUUCUUCAAUCAUGUAUACUUGGAGAUCGGUGGAUGGAUAUUCAUAUACAAUACACAGCUGAAGCAGGUUUUGUUAGGUUAUUUUAUUUUCAAAAGGAAUGCAUUAUUUUCUUGAGUCCAUUAAUGUUAAGCUCUUUAAUAGAAACAAUUGUAGAAGAUUUAUCAUAUUUUGUUUAGAAUUUUGAAGAAUUUGUUAAUCACUCAGUGAAAAUUAUCCCUUGUCAUAAUACAAAUUUUUAAAAUGUAUGUACAAAUACUUUAAUGUUGAAAUGACCAUGCAAGGAAGAAAAUAAAACAAGUUUAAGUGUA